ACGGGAGGCAGCAGUGGGGAAUAUUGCACAAUGGGGGAAACCCUGAUGCAGCGACGCCGCGUGAGUGAAGAAGUUAUUCGUAAUGUAAAGCUCUAUCAGCAGGGAAGAAAAUGACGGUACCUGACUAAGAAGCCCCGGCUAACUACGUGCCAGCAGCCGCGGUAAUACGUAGGGGGCAAGCGUUGUCCGGAAUUACUGGGCGUAAAGAGUACGUAGGCGGUUUUGUAAGCGUAUGGUGAAAGGCAUCGGCUCAACCGGUGUCAGCCGUGCGAACUGCGAGACUUGAGUGCGGGAGAGGAAAGCGGAAUUCCUGGUGUAGCGGUGAAAUGCGUAGAUAUCAGGAGGAACACCGGUGGCGAAGGCGGCUUUCUGGACCGUAACUGACGCUGAGGUACGAAAGCGUGGGGAGCAAACAGGAUUAGAUACCCUGGUA
rnacentral:rRNA from 1 species